ACAACAACAACUGAAAACCAAAAACUGUAUAAACAAUCAAGGCCUAAGUUUCUUAGCAUUGCAUUAAAAGGGUAAAUCAAUGGUUUUUUGGCAUUUUGUUAUCUUAUUCAAUAACAUAUUUGUGGUGACUGUGUCAACAGUCAAACCUACACAACAAAGCUGAAUCCCAUGUAAGUUACUGUUGACUCAAGAAGGGCUAUAGUGGUAAGCCCACUUCCAACACCAAUCAAAUGUUAAAAAACGAACAUGAAACUAAUAUUGAGUUGUAGUUAACAUCUUGACUUCAAUCGAUUUGCCCUAGUAAAAAAAUCUACAGAUGCUAAGUCCGUUUCUCUCACUCUUUCUUACAUGAGAUACACGAUAAAAAUGCAGGCUGUGGGGUUCGAACCCACGCGCACUUAUGUGCAGAAGAACUUAAGUCUUCCCCCUUAACCUCUCGGGCAAACCUGCGCUUCUGUAAACUAAUUCAAAUCUAGCAUAUAAAACCUUAUCAGUUAGUUGUAAUUCAAAAUCAUAACAACAGGUAACAAACCUUGAACCUUCUCUCUGCAUUGUGGUUUCUUUGUUGGUUCACCACAAUUCCUGUCUAUGUAAGUAACAACAUUACAACACAGCAAUUGCAGUACAACAACAUUCCCUGGUUUUAUUUUCUCGGUUUAAGAUGUUUUACAUGAACUCUGUCAAACCUUAUGUUCUCUUCUGAAUAGGAUUUACAACAUGUAAACCCAAACUGACAAAAGAGACAACAAUAUUGUAUAAUAUGAAGCUUACAAUAAUAUAAAGAAAGAUAGUUAUUAUGCUUUAUCAGAAUCAUGUCUUUGAGCGUUUUAAGUAAACAACUACAGCUACGCUCGUUAUCACAACAGCUCCUGUAACCACAACACCACCACGCCAUGUAACCCACCCGCCACAUCCCUUUCCAUCCAGAGUACUCACUUUCUUGAGUUGACCCGUUUCCAAACCCAAGCUCCUUGUUUCUGUCUCGGUGAAGUCCAGAAACAGCCUCAGCACCUUCUGUCCUGUAGACCUAGCAAGAGCAACAGCACCAACCAAAUCACUAUCCGACGUAAUCAACACCUUAUCACCUUCAUCAUCCUCAUACACAAUCUGAGGCCUUUGUUCCUCCACAUCAAUACCGAUUCUUUGCAUCACAACACCCAUCAGCUCUUCAAGGCUUUCACCACCGGAACUAAACCGAUGCACACGGCCCUUAAGGUCUUUGACUUUGAAUGAAAACGAGUUCUCUAGCUCUAGAGAAGGGCAAGAAGUGAGCUUCCCAAUAUCUGAAUGACGAUGCAUCAUCAUCAUCCCCGACAUUUCACUAUGACCGUCCGAAUCAUGAUCAACCGGGUCCAACGCAAGAGCCGAAUCCCAAAACUUCUGCAUCAUGGUGUUAGCCACGUCGUUCACAGCUCCGGAGCUGUUCUCAACCAUCGAGAUAGCCGCGUGAGUUAUCUGCAACACGUCAACGCACGCCGCAACCGAACCGUCUUUGUCCAACACCGGAAGAUGCAAGAACCUCCCGUCGUGCAUCGUAUGCAACGCGUCGAGAAUCGUCGUCUCUAGCGACACGCAUUCGGGACUAGGCGUCAUCACUUUCUCGACAAGAAUCGUUUCAGGAGAUAAGUUUUGGACUACAAGUCGCAUAAGAAUGUCCUUAGAAGUCAGUAUCCCUUGGAUCUUGCUCCCCAUUGAGAUGAUCACAGAGUUAACGCGCAGAUCACGCAUCCUUCUCGCAGCGACGUAGACCGAAUCUGAUGGCGCAACGAGCACAACUUUGGAGCUAUCGGUGAUAAUCGUAGACAAGGCGGGCUUGAACAUCCCUUCCCUCAACGUCUCGAUGAAACCGUACCCACCAGCUCCUCCUCCAACACCUUCCACCGCUGCAGCUAAAGCACUGCCUUGCUCCGCGGCCUUCUCCAUCCUCGAGAUCGCAUCGUAUAAACACUUCGUGAUGUCUAACAUAGCAAUGACUUCGCCGUUUUCAACAACUGGCAAGUGUCUGAACCUCCCUUGAACCAUUUUUUGAAGAGCAUCUAAGGCUAAGGAGUCAGAGGUGACGAAGACAGGGUUUCUCGUCAUGACUUUGGAGACAGGAGUCUGGUCUGGUUUUAACCCUUCGGCGAUGACUCUUGAAGCUAUGUCUUUGUCUGUGCAGAUACCGGAGAGGAGGGAGCUUGAGUUGGUCAGGAGAAUGGCGCCGACGCGACGGGCAGCCAUUCUCCGACACGCGUCGAAGACGGUGGUGCCUUCGGGGAUGGUGAUGGCUUUGUCUAACCGAAGCUUCUUAACUGUUCUCUCUACGUUAGAAGGAGGUUGAGGUGAGUUUGGUAGGUUGUUGACGAAGCUUCCGUGGUGCUCUGAUUGGUCUGGUUUCUUGGAAGGUAGUGGUGGUGGUCCUCUCCUCCUCCCUGAUGUUGACGAAGUCCCUGUCGCUUGAGUGCUCAUAUCGAUCGAUCUAAGGCUUGCAAGAAGAAUUAAUAAAAAAAUAUAUCAAAUCAAAUGCACAAAUCUGAAUAUAAAUCCAACUUUUAACAUUUUACCGAAAAAAAGAUCUGAAUAAAUCUGAUGCAAUGAGGAUGAUCAAUCCGAUGAUAAUAACAUGCAUACAUACAUAAACACGAGCAAUUAAAUCAGGUCGGAACAGGAUUUAUGUGAAAUGAUGAUGGACAAAACUUGAGACGCAAGAAUGGGAUUAGGGUUAGGGUUUACCUUUCUUGGAGAACUUGUCUAGCUUCUCUCUGGUUUGUUGUUCCACGGCUUUCAGCAAAUGUCUUUUAGCCAUUUUAUCAUGUUCCGCGGCGAAUGUGAGGAGGUGGUCUUCUUCUCCUUCUUAUUUAAUUUAGUCAAACUAUAUUAAAUCUGAUAAUUAAGAAAUCAAGAACUAAUGAUGUAUUUCCCGUAAAAGAAAAAAAAAUAUUCAGUGAAAUUAAUUUUUGCAUGUGGCAUGGAUUAGGCGGAAAAUGGUCAAAUAAUAAUACAAAAACAUAAUUGACAAGUAUUGUACUACGUGUGCAAGCAUGUUACUGGAAGGUUGCUUCUAGGCAUUUGACCCCAUGUCACUUGACAGAAUCACGGUAAAACCCUCUAUCAACUAAUUUUAAUAUAUUAUAAAAUUUAUAUAUUUAAUUUUAUCUAAAAUAAAUUAUCAAAAUUUUGAUAUAUUGACAAAAUUUAUAUAUUCAUAAAAUAUAAAUAUGUGUUAAUAGAACUAAUAAUACAAUUUUUUUAAAAAAAUUGUAAAAUUAUAAAUAAAUAUAAUUAUGAAGAAAAACAGAAUAUUUAUUUUUAUUUAUAUAAAUUUUAAUUUAUGAUACUAAUGAAAUUUAUUUACAUAAAUUAUUCUAAUAUUAAAAUUUGUGUUUAUUAUUUUAUCAAAUAUUAAUCAAAAAUAAAUACUCAUUCCGUUUCAUUUUAAUUGUCGUUCUAGGUUUAUGCACACAGAUUAAUAAAACAUAUGAUUUUGUAUAUUUCCAAAAGAAAAACACAAUUACCUAUACAACUAAUCAUAUUUCAACCAAUAAAAUAAAAAAAUAAAGUAGAGAAUCUUAAUACUAAAUUUUGCAUUGAAACUAUAAAACGACAUUUAUUUUGAAAUGAAAAUUUUUCUUCAGAACGACAAUUAAAUCGAAACGGAGUGAGUAUAUUAUAGCAGUUCAUGCUCAACACAAUGUUUCGUUUACGGAUCUGUUCGUGUGAAAUUAAGGUUAUGAACGAGGAGGGCAGGAGAGAGACAGAUCAUAUGUGUUGCAUGAAAACUGCAUUUUAACUCUCAUUCACUAUUUUUUGUUUUAAAAUUUGUUUUGCAGGAGAUCUGCAUGCAGAUCAGAUUUUUUUGUUUUUUUCUGAAAAAAAGACAGAUCUCCUACAUGCAGUUUUGUCUACUAGCAUUUGGUGGUGGUUCACUCAUUUUUUUUUCCUCUGACCAAUAAAUGAUUUUAUUACAAAGUAAUAAUAUAAUUAAUAUUCUUAUAUAAAAAAACACAUUUUCAUUCUAUUUAACUUACAACUUUUACAAUACAAAAAUUUUAAUUGUCUACUUAUUUUUUUAUUUUUGUUAGAACAUUUAUCUAAAAUUAAUAGAACUAAUAAUACAAUUUUUUUAAAAAAAUUGUAAAAUUAUAAAUAAAUAUAAUUAUGAAGAAAAACAGAAUAUUUAUUUUUAUUUAUAUAAAUUUUAAUUUAUGAUACUAAUGAAAUUUAUUUACAUAAAUUAUUCUAAUAUUAAAAUUUGUGUUUAUUAUUUUAUCAAAUAUUAAUCAAAAAUAAAUACUCAUUCCGUUUCAUUUUAAUUGUCGUUCUAGGUUUAUGCACACAGAUUAAUAAAACAUAUGAUUUUGUAUAUUUCCAAAAGAAAAACACAAUUACCUAUACAACUAAUCAUAUUUCAACCAAUAAAAUAAAAAAAUAAAGUAGAGAAUCUUAAUACUAAAUUUUGCAUUGAAACUAUAAAACGACAUUUAUUUUGAAAUGAAAAUUUUUCUUCAGAACGACAAUUAAAUCGAAACGGAGUGAGUAUAUUAUAGCAGUUCAUGCUCAACACAAUGUUUCGUUUACGGAUCUGUUCGUGUGAAAUUAAGGUUAUGAACGAGGAGGGCAGGAGAGAGACAGAUCAUAUGUGUUGCAUGAAAACUGCAUUUUAACUCUCAUUCACUAUUUUUUGUUUUAAAAUUUGUUUUGCAGGAGAUCUGCAUGCAGAUCAGAUUUUUUUGUUUUUUUCUGAAAAAAAGACAGAUCUCCUACAUGCAGUUUUGUCUACUAGCAUUUGGUGGUGGUUCACUCAUUUUUUUUUCCUCUGACCAAUAAAUGAUUUUAUUACAAAGUAAUAAUAUAAUUAAUAUUCUUAUAUAAAAAAACACAUUUUCAUUCUAUUUAACUUACAACUUUUACAAUACAAAAAUUUUAAUUGUCUACUUAUUUUUUUAUUUUUGUUAGAACAUUUAUCUAAAAUAUUUAUAUGAUGUGUGCGUUUUUUAAUUAUGUAAAUGUAUAAUAUUGUACUUAAAUAUAUAUAUAUAUUAAUGGAAGAUAGACACAAUUUGGUCAAUUACUAACAUUUUCAUAAUUUAAUUUUAAAAAUACAGUUUCAUAAUUUUAAUGCAAUAUUUAUUGUUAUUUAUGUAUUGUAUUUAUAUAUUAUGUAUUUUAUUUUAAUUUUAUUAUUUAAAUAUAUACUCUAUUUUUAAAUUGUUUUUCUCAUUAUAAACGGUAAUCAGACGUUAAAAUUGUAACCUGAUUCGAUAUCAAAAUCAUGUAUUUUUAAAUUCAAGUAAAAAAUUACAGUUCAUUAAAAACCAUAAAAUUUUGAAAUCACAAGACAAUAAGCUUCAUUUUCCAGUUUAUAAUUGGACAAGAGAUAUUAGAGAAUGAAGUAAGAAGUUUGAAGCAAUUGAAUUCCAGUGGAUCAACUGAAGAUCAAAAAAGGCCGCAGAUAAGCUGGCAACUUCAAAUCCAAACCGAGAUUCAUUUUUAUUUCAUUACUAUGUACCAAACAACAUAACAAGUCUUCUUCAAGAAUAUUAUGUACUAUCCCAUUUAAAUUAAUGAAAUAAGUUGAUAUAAAAAAAAUUCAUAUCUUUCUAAUAUCUGUCUAAAUAAAUAGGUUUUCGUCGUAUUUUAUAUUAUUUAAUUUAAUUUUUUUCUAUUUUCAUAUCAUUUUAGAUUCUAACAAUGAUAUAAAACUAUAUCAAAAUAAUUUAUAGUUAUACUUAUAUAUAUAGUUACUUAAUUUAAAAUGAAAUUAAAAUUUUAAAUCCGGUUAGAUCCGUUUGAUCAUUGAUCAGAGUAUAAUAAUUAUAAUAAGCUGUUUGAUCUGUACUUGAUCAGCAUGAUCUGCUUUGAGCUUGAACUGAACUGCUUUUACCAUUUGAACUCUAAGAGUACAAAGAGUACAAGGGUUGUUUUAAAAUUAGUCUCUAAUUAAACAAUUGAACUGAUUAGAGUCUCAGUCCACGGAGCUUACACGAUACAAUCGAUUUCGGAUGCUUCGUCUUCUUCGUUGAAUUCACAAUGCUAGAUAUGGAUCUCCGUCUUCUUCUACCAUCUCUCAUUCCCUCAUCGCAAUCCGUAAGCUAUCUCUUUGUACCUUUUUGAUUCAACGUCGCAUUGAUCAAUUCGUAUUUAGGUUUACGUGCUGGUGUUUUACUUCGUUUACUUGGCCGUCGCUGGAGAAAUCCUCCCCGGAAAAUUAAUCAGCGGCUCGUUUUAUCAGAUGGCUCACAGCUUCGUUACCGAUGCAAUGGUUAUUUCAUCUUUUUCUACUCUUGAAGCUUUUCCUGAGAGAUUAUCUGAGCUCAAAAGAUUAUUUUCAGGUCUAUUCGACAUUGUUGAUUGCUAUAUAGGGAAUCUCUGCAAAAACUCGGCAGUGUAUCACCUCUUGUAAGUCUUUAUACACAUUAUCUGAUCAUCAUCAAGAAGAAGAGAUGCACUUUGUGUUUCUAUGAAUCCGAAUGAUAUAGUUUUCUUUUGAUUAGGUUGUUGCUGAUUGAGGACUUGAGCUACUCUCUGCUUAAUUUGAUCUUCUGUGUUUUGGUAAAGAUUGUUUCAUCCUUAUUGUGGUUUUUCGUUUGGAUCUUGUUCCUGUUACCUCAGUAUAUCAGAUUUGUGCCUCUUAGUUUGUUGAUUUGCUUUUUGAUAUUCUCAGGUGACAUUUGUGUUAUAUAUUACUACUGGGCGCAGUUCCUCGGAUAAGAGUUCUUCUUUAAAGCCUCAUGUCUCAGGAAAUCUUGUACAUGACUGGUACUAACUUAUACUAUACAUGUAUACAUCUCUCUUUUCUUAUCCCACAAACCCUUGUGUUAGAUUUUUGUAUUUUCUUACUCUAGCAACAGCUAAACUAAGGAACAAUCCAUAGUCUAGUAAACUAUAAAGUAUGAAACAACGAUUAUAAAUGUUGAGUUACUCCUCGAAAGACUGAAGAUGUCUCUUUGAUUUUUUUUUUUCACAGAUGAGACAUCAUUGCAGAGAGGUUGGGCUUCAUGCUAGUGUUUGGAGAUCUCCUGUGGAUUCCUUUCACUUCACUUUUAGCAUUCAGGCAUGUAACUGCGUGCUUGAUAACAAAUAGUAUAUACAUAAAAUUUCAUCUUAUGGACAGUGUCUUAUUGGCAUGUAAACAGUUGUUUUGAAUUGAUCACUCUGUGACUCAAUUGUCUUCAUUUUGGUACAGGGAUGGUGGCUUUUGCACUACAAAGUAGAACUAACAGUUCCUGCUAUAGUAGCCAAUUGCUUUGUGUUCUUGAUAGGGUAAUUUUGUGUCAUUGAGUUAUCAUACAUUAUUUGAGACUAAACAAAGAAGCCUACAUUAUUAUUUUCCUGGCAGGUAAAUGGUUUUUAGAGGGGUUAACAAACAAAAACAUAUCUCUAAGAACCCUAAAACACCUAUAUGGGGUAAGCCUCCAGUGUGGAAAGUUGCUUGCUUCAGGCUAUUGGUAUGGUCUUCUUUUUUUCUCAUUAUCUAGUUUCUUUGCUUGGUUUUCACCGUCUAUGUUCACUAUUCAUCAUAUUGUUAGUGGUAAACAAUGCAAAGGUUGUUUUAAAAAUAUUACGGGGGAAUCGCAAGCACUGUAGUUACCUUGGCGACUUGAUGCUUGCUCCGUCGUUCAGUUUGCCCUGUGGAAUAAGUAACUUGUUCUGCUUGAGUUCAUCAUCUUACAAAUACCAAAUUCAUGUUAGAAACUACUUGCCAUGAUCAAAACUUUUAAAGUGAAAAAAAAAACUUUUAAAGUGAAGAGUCCCAAACAAUGAUUUUGGCUAAGAUUUAGAUGUUGAUCUGAAACCUGAGAUUAUAAUUGGUGGUGGCUGAGAUUGUCUUAUCUUUAAAGACUGCCAUUUGAAACUUUCAAAGCUUUCAAAUGUAUUGUCUGAUCAUCACGUAGACAAAAAUAAUCUGGGUUGUUUCUAUUAUGUUGUUCUUGUCUACUGUCACUCAGCUCACGGGGUUCCAUAUUUCUACCCGAUAUACCUUUUGAUACUGUUUAUGGGUUUGUGAAUUGUACAUUUCACUAAGCUCUAGGCUUUCAUUAAGCUAAUUAGCUAAACCACUCGGGUUUAUUUAUGAUUAUAUAUUUAAAUUACAAAUAAAAUUUUAUUUGAGUGUUUUUGGCCUUUUUGGUUUGGCUCUUUUNNNNNNNNNNNNNNNNNNNNNNNNNNNNNNNNNNNNNNNNNNNNNNNNNNNNNNNNNNNNNNNNNNNNNNNNNNNNNNNNNNNNNNNNNNNNNNNNNNNNNNNNNNNNNNNUCCCUAUAUCUAUCCACUUAGAGUAUUUUUUUUAGUCAACUCUCUUGUCAAUUAAAAAAUUGUCAACAUGAAGGUACUCCGAAAUUGCCGAGCCUUUGAAUAUUCCCAUUGCCUUUUGUCUUCAGUCUUGCGUUUAGGGAAUACAAAUUUCUUGUCUAAUAAUCCUUUCUUCAUUUAUCUCUGCGUUUCAGAUGGCGUCUUCUUCUUCUUCUUCUCGAGCGAUCAGUCCACACGAUCUCUUCCUCAGCUUCAGAGGAAAAGACGUCCGCAAAAAAUUCCGUACCCACUUUUUCAAGGAGCUCGAACGCAAGAUAAUCCCCUUCAAGGACGAGGAGAUGAAAAAAGGCCAAUCUAUUUCACCUGAGCUUAUCAAGGCCAUAGAAGGAUCCAGGAUCUCUGUUGUAGUGCUUUCCCACAACUUUGCAAAUUCAAGCUGGUGCUUGGAUGAAUUGGUGGAGAUCAUGAGGUGCAGAGUUGAACUAGGCCUCAUCGUGAUACCUAUUUUCUACGAAGUGAAUCCUUCUCAUGUCAGAAAACAAUCCGGCGACUUCGGAGAGAUCUUCGAAGAGACUUGCAAAGGCAGAACGGAGGAAGAUAAACUUCGCAGCAAUCAUAGCCGGGGAGGAUUCCAGCACUUGGUACUUGCCUAAUUUUUAUUCUCUUGCUGUCUUUUCAAGAUCCCUUAGUAUCUAGUUUUGUGUGUUGUAAUAAUUGUGUUAUCAAUCUUUGCUAGGUCUGACGAAGCAAAGAUGAUUGAGAAAAUUGUCAACGAUGUUUCUAACAAACUGAUUUCCACAUCAUCCACUGAUUUUGCUGACUUUGUUGGAAUUGAGGAUCACAUCAAAAACAUGAAUUCGUUGUUGGAUUUGGAGUCAGAGGAAGUGAUAAUGGUAGGGGUUUGGGGUCCAUCUGGAGUUGGUAAGACUACCAUCGCUCAAUACAUUUUAUUUAAGCAUGUCCAUCUCUGGUAAUUGUUAAAAUUUAUGGUUUUCAGGGUACUCCAAGUGUUUUGGGCAUAUUUUUGAACUUAUCUGAAAUCAAGGAUACAUUUAACAUUAGUAAAAAAGCAUUCAGGAAGAUGAGAAACCUUCGGUUUCUAAGCAUCUACGGGGUCUUACGGGAGGAUGUACAAGUUAUACUGCCUUUACAAGAUGGUAAAGAACAUAUGUGGCGCCAACUUAGAUUACUGGAAUGGUGGGGUUGCUCAAUGAGAUGUAUGCCUUCUAACUUUCGUCCGGAAAAUCUCAUUGAACUUAGAAUGCCAGAUAGUCACCUUGAGACAUUGUGGGAUGGAGCUCAGGUAAGGUAUCUGGUCUUAUUGAAAACAAUACAUUAUAUAUGUUCAUUGUGCUUUAUAAUAUAUUGGAGAAAUAGUUGUUAAAGUUUGGUAAAGCAAACAAAACUUUUAAAUGCUAUCUUUCUGGAAAAAAACAUAUUUUAUGUUGACCUGCAAACUUUCUUUACGACAUGUUUGUUUGUUUGUUUGGCAUAUUGUAAGUUAACCUUGACUUUUUAUUGUGCUGUGAUCAGCUGCUUAGAAGCCUCAAGAAGAUGGAUCUGCGGAGAUCUAAAAAGCUGAAAGAAAUCCCAGAUCUUUCAAAGGCCACAAAUCUCGAGGAAUUGUAUCUUGAAGAUUGCUGGAGUCUGGUGAUGAUUCCUCCCUCUUUUGAGAAUCUCAACAGACUCAGGAAACUAGACAUGAAAAGAUGCAAAAAUCUUCGAAUUCUUCCAGAGAACAUCCACUUGGAAUCCCUUCAUUCCCUCAAUUUCAGUGGAUGCUCAAAGUUGACAAGUUUUCCUCAGAUUUCAAGGAAUGUUUCUCAUCUCUUUCUAGAUGAAACAAAGAUUGUAGAAGUUCCUAGGAGGAUAAAAGAUAUCUCCGGGCUCAAUUUUAUUUUGAUUACUGGUUGCAGAAACUUAAGAUAUAUAUCUCCAAUCAUUUCAAAAAUGAAACAUCUUGAGGUGAUGUUCUUUUCAAACAGUGAUGCUUUAGUUGAAGCAAGUUGGUUCCAAGUGCAGUGGCAACGACAACAAACAACCUUCACACUGACUUACCAGAUUCUUCUCCCUCGGGCAAUUGGCUGUACGAUGUCUUCUUAAGCUUUCGUGGAAAAGAUGUUCGCAAAGGUUUUCUGAGCCACAUGAUCAUGAAAUUCAAAAGCAAAGGAAUCAAUAAAUAUAUGGAUGAUGACAUCACUAUGAGCCUGUCCGCUGUGUUUGAACACGGGAUAAGAAAAUCAAGAAUCGCUAUAGUCGUGCUUUCAGAAAAUUACGCGUCUUCGAGAUGGUGCUUGGAUGAGUUGGUAGAGAUCAUUAGGUGCAGCAAAGAGAUUGGUCAAAAAGUGAUCCCCAUUUAUUAUGGUGUGGAUCCUGUUCAUAUCAGGAGGCAGAUCCAAGACACAUUCGACAAGAGGAAUACAGUGGACCAGCAGCAAAAAUGGUUACAAGCUCUUACUGUACUAAACCAACUUCACGGAUAUCACAUCAACAACUCGUAAGUUAAUGAACUAUUUACAACUUGCUUUGACUUUAAAAAUUCUAUAGUUAAAUAUCUUCACGGAUGUUCAUUUCUUCAUAGUAUUUACUCCAUUUUUGUUGUGUGAUCAUCUUUCUUCCUUUCAGGAUUUCCGAAGCAGAGAUGAUUGGAAAAAUAACUGUUGAUAUAUUGUUUGCACUAACUAUUAGACCAGAAAUGGUUCCCGUGAUUCCAGGCCAGGAAACUGAGAAAUCGUUAACACUGCAGUACAAUGGUCUAAAUGGGAAUGAGAAAAUGUUGUUUGAAGACAGUGAACUGGAUGUUGUCGGAAGAGAGAGUUAUAAGUAUGAACCAUGUGAAGCAAAAGAUAGGCAGAGAUCUAGUUCUUGGACCAUUCACUGGCCAGUCUGCAUAUCGUCAGUUCCUGGAGGAUAGUAGCGAGGGUUUCAACGUACUUAUUGAUCAAACUGUAAGUUCUUUUUUUUUUUGUAUUAGCAUCAGUAUAUGUGUGUUUUAAGCUACUACUGAUUUGUCCCUCUUAAAAUAUUCUUUCAGGGUACUGAAAAUGUGUUUGGCAUCUCGUUUAAAAUAUCAGAAAUGGAAGAUAGAUUGGGAAGAGAUGAAAGAUUGAAAGGAAUGAAAAAGCUGCAGUUUAAGAGAGAGUACAAGGAGAGAUUGUACGGUAAAGAAGUCAGAGUUCAUUUAGUUAAAGGCCUCCACUCAUUGUGGGAACGCCUUAGUAAUAUUUGAUGGGUAAGAAGAGUAUUCACUCAAUAAGAUGCUAUUAUCGGCUUAUGUCCAUUUAGGGAUAGGAUUUUAUUGAUUAUAUGUAAAACUUUUACUGUCAAGUUUAAUAUUGUUUUUUUCUGCAACCACUUAUCUAUACUCUUUUCAUGUUGAAUCACAGACAUUUUGGCCUACAUUGUAUGUGCCGGUGUCGUCUGUCAUCUGAAGAAGCAGAGAGGUGUUGCUCUGUUUGUCGACAAAGGCAGAGUAGUAGGCCUCUAACAGAUGUUGCAUCAGAAGUCAAAGUGGAUGGAAAUGCUUUUUUUUUUUUUUUUUUGGUCAACGAAAAUUGCAUUACUAAAAAGGAUCAGCCUGCCCAUUCUCAGCCCUUGGAAGAUAGAAAAAGUCUAGAUCGACAAACAGAGAAAAGAAAGCUUCGAUAUCUGAACUUGGUCUUCAUUCCUCGCCAACUCCAACAAUGUAUUGUGAUAAUACCGGAAGUAUUUCUUUUUUUUUUAUAUAAAGAAUACCGGAAGUAUUUCAUUGAUAAGACUUAGGGGAAUUAUACAAGGGCCAACUUAGAGGACCACACCACGAAGUUGUUCUUGGAAACACAGAAGUUGUUCUUGGAUUCUAUUAAGUUCCUCCACAUUUCCUCAAUAAACAAAACAAAAAAACAUGUUUGGUUUUUUGUUAGAGACAUCAUCUAUUGUAUUCCCCUAAAAAGAGAAAACUUUAGGCGAAAGUGGAAACAAUUGCCCUUGCCUAAGUUAGAUUUGCAGACUGAUCAGAAACGUGGUGUGACUGAUGUCAUACCUACAAGUCAGAGAAAUAUUGACACUUAACCUGAUUAUGUAAAAAAAAAAAGAGUACUGCGUAGUUUUUCUUUAUUUGACGGAAAAAACGAAACUGGGGAAAAAUUCUGAGGUUUUGUUCGAGAUGUUGUGACCUUACCGUUUGGGGGAAUUUCGUUUUCUUUCAUGAACUCGAUGUAAUGUUUUCUUUCGAGAGUUCCACGGCUCUCAAAACAUUUAUCUUCUGGAUUUGAUAUAAGAAAGCACACCCUAUAAAUAUAUAUAUAUAUAUAUAUGUAUAAACAAGAGAAAAGGACAAAAAUAGCACUAAAUGAAGUUUUUGUUCUCAAACUAGCACUCAAGAUCAAAAGUGACAAAAAUAGCAUUUAAUGUUUUAUCAAAAGUCACAAACUUAGGGUUUGGAGUUAAAGGGUGGGGUUUAGGAUUUACGGUUUAGGGUUUAGGGUUUAGGGUUUAGGGUUUAGAGUUUAGGGUUGAGAAAUGAGGUUUUGGGGAUAAGAUUUCAAAUUUUGAAAAAUAAAAAAAUUAAAAUUUUCAAAGGAUAAACUUAGAAAUGUGCUAUUUUGGUCAUUUUAGUUUUGGAAUGCUAUUUUUGUGAUAUAAACUUAGAAAUGUGCUAUUUUGGAGAUUUGCCCUAUAUAUUUGCUGAGAAACUAUAAUUAUUAGACUUUUUCCUAUUGCUGUCACAAUUAGAUUUUUUUUUAGUCCGGGACCUAAAGGACGUUUUUAGAUCUUCUUACAUUUCAUGUUCUUUGAUGCUAUCACCAUCUGUUUAUUUUCUCCAUCUUCAGAUAUUCCGGAACAUGGUAUCCAUGAAAACAAGAAAGAAGCUUGUGUUUAUAAGCUUUGUUUGGAUGGUGAUGAUUAACAUCAUCAUUACCAUCUUCAAAUGUAAAGUUGUUUAAAUUAAAUCAACUCUUUUUGUCUCCCCUAAGUAAUUUUGAACACAAUCACCAAUGCCACAUUAACACUAAUAAACUUAAACUGGCUUACAAUAGUAGGCUAACCAAGACCUUGGUUUGAAGAACACAAACUCAAUCCAACAUCUUGGUUUGAUGAAAACUGAAGCACAGUUCCGUGGAAAAUACGUCUAAAAUUAGAAGCAAGAGACUGAAGAGACAGAGAGAGGGUAAGAGAAGCUGUUAGCAUACUGAAAGGAGAGUGUCUGUCCAGGAGAAAGAGGUUGACCAUCAUUGACCAGACAAUCAUCGUAGGAGAGUCGCCUGAAAACUCUAGGGUUAACCAGUCUGACCGAGCUGAACCAGCCACAACUGACGUGGAUCUCCGCAACGCUGCAAUCAGAGGCACAUGCGUUUAAAAAAAGUCGAGGUCGUCGUAAGCUGGGGAUCCAACAGAAGGAGUAAGCCUGCCUGCAUAUAUAUAUAUAUCCAAAGUAAUUUAGUAUAUGACAAAAGAACUUAAGAAAUAAAACUAAAAGAUAUUACUUUUCAAAUCUGAAAUCAAGAAGAACCAAACUUAAUAGCGUGACAUCCUCCUAGUAGAGCCACCGCAACAACUGAUACAACCAAGUAGAAAGAAAAUGCUCAAUAACGCGUGAAAUCAGAUUUUACAAUCGAUAUGCACAUUAUUUAAUAAAUAAAAACAAUUGCGAAAUCUAAAGAUUUUUUUUUUUUUUUUUUUGGUCAACGAAAAUUGCAUUACUAAAAAGGAUCAGCCUGCCCAUUCUCAGCCCUUGGAAGAUAGAAAAAGUCUAGAUCGACAAACAGAGAAAAGAAAGCUUCGAUAUCUGAACUUGGUCUUCAUUCCUCGCCAACUCCAACAAUGUAUUGUGAUAAUACCGGAAGUAUUUCUUUUUUUUUUAUAUAAAGAAUACCGGAAGUAUUUCAUUGAUAAGACUUAGGGGAAUUAUACAAGGGCCAACUUAGAGGACCACACCACGAAGUUGUUCUUGGAAACACAGAAGUUGUUCUUGGAUUCUAUUAAGUUCCUCCACAUUUCCUCAAUAAACAAAACAAAAAAACAUGUUUGGUUUUUUGUUAGAGACAUCAUCUAUUGUAUUCCCCUAAAAAGAGAAAACUUUAGGCGAAAGUGGAAACAAUUGCCCUUGCCUAAGUUAGAUUUGCAGACUGAUCAGAAACGUGGUGUGACUGAUGUCAUACCUACAAGUCAGAGAAAUAUUGACACUUAACCUGAUUAUGUAAAAAAAAAAAGAGUACUGCGUAGUUUUUCUUUAUUUGACGGAAAAAACGAAACUGGGGAAAAAUUCUGAGGUUUUGUUCGAGAUGUUGUGACCUUACCGUUUGGGGGAAUUUCGUUUUCUUUCAUGAACUCGAUGUAAUGUUUUCUUUCGAGAGUUCCACGGCUCUCAAAACAUUUAUCUUCUGGAUUUGAUAUAAGAAAGCACACCCUAUAAAUAUAUAUAUAUAUAUAUAUGUAUAAACAAGAGAAAAGGACAAAAAUAGCACUAAAUGAAGUUUUUGUUCUCAAACUAGCACUCAAGAUCAAAAGUGACAAAAAUAGCAUUUAAUGUUUUAUCAAAAGUCACAAACUUAGGGUUUGGAGUUAAAGGGUGGGGUUUAGGAUUUACGGUUUAGGGUUUAGGGUUUAGGGUUUAGGGUUUAGAGUUUAGGGUUGAGAAAUGAGGUUUUGGGGAUAAGAUUUCAAAUUUUGAAAAAUAAAAAAAUUAAAAUUUUCAAAGGAUAAACUUAGAAAUGUGCUAUUUUGGUCAUUUUAGUUUUGGAAUGCUAUUUUUGUGAUAUAAACUUAGAAAUGUGCUAUUUUGGAGAUUUGCCCUAUAAACAAUGUUCUUCAAAUGAAAAGAAAAAAAGAAACUGAAUAUAUAGCCUGUGUCAAAGAAGAAAACAGCGUGUUCAAAGCAAAAGCAAACGACUCAUGCCAUUCCAGCUAAGAGUGUCAUUAAGCCGAAUUAAGUACUUAAACAGUAGAAGGAUUCGUAAGAUUCGCAUGGAAAUGUAAGCUCAUCGACACACUCAAUCUUUCCCCAAAUUAAUCUCACGUCCAUUGCUACUUCUUUCCAAAGAAAUCUUAGCAUACCAAAUCUUGUUUUUCGGUUGGAUAUCAGAAUAUACCCACAUAACCAUAAGCUUCCCACCAUAGUCCUCCACUGCAAACUCACUUGCACUUCUUAAACAACAGUCAUCUAGUAAUCUUCGCAAACCCUUGAUUUCUCUCCAUUCUCUACCCUCAUGAUCCUCAGAGUCACACCAGAUUAAGUCUCCAUAGUAAGUGCAACAGUAUAAUACAUCCUUUAUCCAAAUUGUAGCCCCUUCUAGUUCUAUGGAAUCUGACUGCCCUCUUAAAAGUUUCCAUGUACCAUAUUUCGGCUCGUACGUGUACUCCCUUUCAUUUAUCACUACGAAAAACUUUUCGUCUAUCACAUUAACUAAAUCAUAAUUAUUUUCUGUUAAAAGAAUGCGUAACUCAGCACCAGGCCCCGGCAAGACUGUCCAAGACUGAGUCUUCGUAUCAAACACCUCAAACAGUCUAGCAGAGUACUCGUCAAUCUUACAACCUCCCAUCACAUAUAUUUUACCAUGGUCAGUAAAAACGCAUGGAUCCUCCCGAGCCGCGGUCAUGUUAGGACCGUUACGCCAAGUAUGACUUCGACAAUCAAGGAUCCAUACAGAGGAAGAAGGCUCCUCGCGGGGUCCACCGAUUGAGUAGAUUUCCGGACCAACCGUUACGGUGGACUGACUUGUUAUGCGAGGAGAAUGGAUGGGUGUCGGAACAACCGAGUUUCCAGUUGGAUCCUUCUUAAACCUAAUCUUUCCUCUCUGUUUGGUUAUGGUUUGAUUAUUAGGUUUAGCCCAAACACUAAACCAGCUCGGAUAUGGUUGAUUGUGUAACUGUAGGCAGACAUAUACGCAAGUUUCUUCGGUUCCGAUUUGAGAUCGCGUCUUAUAGAUUUGCAUAGAAGAUAAGAGAGAGCGGAAGCUCUUUGAGACGAGAGAAAGCCAAGGAUAGUUCCACCUCGAAACACGGGCAAGAAUGUUUUCUGUGAUUUCAUCCGGAAGUGAAGAAAACAAUGACAGUGGCUGGCAAAUCUUUUCCUUCUUUGGUUCAACUUCUUCGAAGGUCAUGAUCAUGGUCAAUUGCUGUGGAGAAAAAAUAGGAUAAAUUUUAGGGUUUAUUAAAUCACGAUUAGGUCUGUAGAAAAUCUAACGCCUAUUUAGUGUUUGGUAUCCAAAUAGGAAAACUCUAUAAAUUAAUAAUUUUAAUAAUAAAUUAGAAAAAUUUCCUUUUUCGAAUUUAUAUAUUUUAAAUUACUUUAUAGGAAACUAUAUUUUACAUAUACAAAUUUUAUGUUAUUUUUAUUCGACUAUUCGAUGUAUAGAAUAUAUAUACCGUAAAAGUAAAUUAAGUCUUAGAUUUAAAAUAGUAAAAUGACACCAAUAUAUUUAAAAAAAUUAAAAUUAAAUUUAAUGUGAAUAAAAAAAUAAAUUAUCCAAUUUUUUUAUUUUUUAUAAAUUUUAUAUACAUUAAUUAUUUGUAAAAAAUAGUUUAAUCCACGAAGAAUUGAGUGAAAUAGGACGAGUUUGAUCUGUGUUUGUGUUUCCAGCAUUACUGUUGAUGUAUAAAGAUUAUCAUGACUAGCAUAGAUGAUAUUGACAAAAACACUAUAGAUAUUUUUUUCUUUUUGAUUGUAAAAUUGAAAAUAACUAUAACAGUUAUAUAUUGGUUUAAAGAAUAUUUUAUUAAGUUGUUUUCUUUUAACUUAAAUUGAUUUAUAAGGGUCUAACCACUCCAAAAACAACUUCAAAAUUUUAAAUUUUAUAAUAGAAGAUUUCACCGUACAAACUUUAUAUUUAAAGUUUCUUACUUUUCUAGUUCUUUUAAUUGUGUAACUUUCAAAUAAUGUUAAUAACUUUCUUGUUUAAUCUUUUUAAUACAAAAAUAUUUAAUUAGUACUACAACAACUAUCAUACAAAGAUUAAAUAAUGUUACUACAUGAUAUAAUAACAAUGUGCAUUAUUAUGCAUAACAUAAUUAUUGGAAAUGAAUAUGAUAUCAACGCACCAAUUAGAAAUGCUAGAUCGAGUUGAAAUGGAAAUAAAUAAAAAAGCUCGUAUACAAAACUUUUUAACUCGUAGUCGAAGAAAACUCAUUUAUCACUUGAAAAUAUCUUAAUUGAUCAUAAGUAGAAUUAUUGUAGGGGUAAAUUAUAAUGAAAUAUUAUAUAAUUUAGUUAAAUUUAAUGAAUUAUUUUGUAUGUUUUUAUUUACAUACAAUAUUUUACUAUAAUAUAAUAUUUUAUUAAUUAAUUUUUGUUUAUAAUACUUUUGUUGCAUAUUUUAUAGUUAUUAUAAAAGAUUUAUGCUUUUAGUUGGGUUUUAUUAAAUAUGACGGACUAUUAUGUAAAAUAUAAAAAAUUUAAAGCUUUAUAUUUUGAUUUUAGAGAAAAACACCAUCGUACCUUUUAUUUAAGAUUUUGCCAAGCCUGAGUUAAAUUCUACUGCACUUAACGGCAGCAACAUCUACGGUCAUAAAUUUUUGGCACCAACUGCUCAACAAAAAAUCUUCGAUCUUAAUUUUAUAGAAAAGAAAAAAUCUAAAGCUAAUAAGGAUACAGGCCCAUUUAAGAACAUUAGGCCCAAUAAACGACGGAGCCUUCUAGGUCCCGUACUUUGUCUACUCACCAUCCCGAAAAGUCACAAUCCUGAGUUACUCACAGACCAAACACACACACAACAUUACAUUUGAACCACUAAAUCACACUUAUCUAUCACACAAUGGCGACCUCUCUCUCCGUCUCCAGACUCAUCUCUUCAUCCGCCAUCUCCGUCGCCAAACCGCUACUCUCCCCAACCUCCGCCUUCACCGCCCCAAUCUCCUUCUCCCGCUCCCUCGCUCCCAACCUCUCCUUCAAAUCCCACAGCAGACCCAAAAGUCAUUGACUUUCGGAAAUGACGUUAGGUUGUUGGGUAGCCGAUACAUACUUGGUAUAAUUGCUUCCUUAGAAAUCAGCUAUGCAUAUCUCAUAUUCAUUUCUUUAAAUCAGAUGCUGCAUCAUAUUCUGAAUCGAAAUUCUCAAUUCUAAUUAUAAUCAAACUAGUAAUCAAUAGAGAGCAUACAAAACUCUUCAAAAAAAUUAUAACGUAUCAACAACACACAUUCCCCCAUAUAGUAAUUUGAGAGGAUACAGAAAUAAAAGUAAACACAAUCGCUUGUGUUUACUUUGCAACCAAAGUUUCACUACAAAAUCACCUGCUAGCUCUGUGUAUGUUAGGUAUCGUGAUGCACGUAAAAUCGCAUGGUAAAGUCACAAUCCUGAGUUACUCACAGACCAAACACACACACAACAUUACAUUUGAACCACUAAAUCACACUUAUCUAUCACACAAUGGCGACCUCUCUCUCCGUCUCCAGACUCAUCUCUUCAUCCGCCAUCUCCGUCGCCAAACCGCUACUCUCCCCAACCUCCGCCUUCACCGCCCCAAUCUCCUUCUCCCGCUCCCUCGCUCCCAACCUCUCCUUCAAAUCCCACAGCCGCCGCUCCUCCAUCUCCGCCGUCAGAUCCUUCUCAACAACCACCAUCUCCGCCUCCAUCUCCGUCGGAGACAAACUCCCCGACUCUACCCUCUCCUACCUCGAUCCCGCCACCAACGAUGUCAAAACAGUCACCGUCUCCUCCCUAACCGCCGGGAAGAAAACCAUCCUCUUCGCCGUCCCGGGCGCCUUCACUCCGACCUGC
rnacentral:lncRNA from 1 species